rnacentral:rRNA from 1 species
UACGGAGGGUGCAAGCGUUGUCCGGAUUUAUUGGGUUUAAAGGGUGCGUAGGCGGGUUUUCAAGUCUGGUUUGAAAGGUAGCUGCUCAACAGUUAGACGUGGAUGGAAACUGGGAUUCUGGAAUGGGGUGGCGGCUGCCGGAACGGGUCAUGUAGCGGUGAAAUGCAUAGAUAUGACCCAGAACACCGAUUGCGAAGGCAGGCAGCUACGACCUGAUUGACACUGAGGCACGAGAGCAUGGGUAGCGAACAGG